UGUUGGCUCCCUUCCCCCCCAUGUCUCUCUCCAUUUAUAAGCUCUCAUUUAUCAUCAUAAAUCAGCCCAGCAUUUUAAACAGAACAUUUUGGGACGGAAUCCUGGCUUAUGGAAUGCUGCUCUGAGAGCUACAAUGACAUCACAGCUGAGCUGUUACACACUGUCAAGGCUGUCACAGCCAAACCUCCACUGUGUUAUAUUUUUGUGGUUAAUAACACAGAAAGAAUUGACCUUGUGUCAGUUCUUGCUGGCCAAGCCAGAGAGCUUCCAUCAAGCUUUCAGAUACAGGUGCACGGCGAGCUCCUGCCUCCGAGUCCGGCAGAUGCAGAACAACUGCCUCAGCUCUGCAGGCACUGCCGCUCAGCACGGCAGGAGCAGAUCUGGAGUGCGCAGGACCCCUUCGCGUCCUUCUGGGCUGGGUGAGCAGAGAGCCGGUGCCAAGUUAUCCCACCCUCACGUGCCAUCAGAGCUCGGAAGGUGGAGAGAAGCCAUCAGCCCUGUCGAGCCGAGGAGAAAACUUACUCGACUGUUUGUUGCUCGGGGGCUGGAAGAGAGAGCAGCUCCCAAGAGCGGGAGCGUUUCACAUCAGUCGCCCUCAGGCUGGCUGUGACUCUGGAGAAGCUCUCAGCCCCUCGAGCCAAGGCGUCAGCUCCUCUCCAGGCUCCAGAGUCGCGUCCGUGCGCAGUCUGGUGUCCCUUCGCGGUCAGCUGCCACCCGCCGGCAUCUCCCCACCGGACGCGGACACCCAGCGAACCGGGAGCCUGUCUGGGCCGCCGGGGCUUGGAAGGACGGGAGCUGCGGCCCGGGGACGGAGCCAGCCCGGCGGCUGCCGGAGCCCGCAGACAACCAGCGGCGGGAGGCGCGUAGGGCGGCGGGAGGGCGGCGGGGACAGCGGCUUUCCCUGGUCCCGCAGGGUCACCGGCCCCGCUCUGUGCCCAUCCCGGGCUUCAGCUAUGAAUAGCUUGAGCCGAUUAUCCCGGCCCGGGGGAAAGGGGGGAAGAUACCGAGCAAAGGAAACUUACAUCCUCUGCGGCCAUAGGUAGGACAUCUUCGGAGUCCAGCACCUCGAUUUCUUCCGCCUCCGAGCUGGCAGCCACAGCAGGGGAAGAGCUGGCGUGAGGCUCCGGCAGCCUGUCUCCCAUGCUUGGAAACGGUCCCCCUCCAGCCCCCGCCCCCCUUCUCCCCAGAUCCUUAAAGAAAUUAAACCUAGCUGCUGGUUGGCAAACUUUCAAGCGCAGCCGAGCCUGCCUUCAUGACUCCCGCAGCCGGGAGGGGAGGAAAUCCUCCAUCCACGGAAUAUCCAAUUAGCGCGGGCAGCGCCGGCGGGCGGCAUCCCGGCGGCCGA